rnacentral:rRNA from 1 species
GACGAACGCUGGCGGCGUGCUUAACACAUGCAAGUCGAACGAAGUGGCGAACGGGUGAGUAACGCGUAAUCAACCUGCCCUUCAGAGGGGGAUAACAGUUGGAAACGACUGCUAAUACCGCAUACUGAAGGAGGGGAAUGCGGCUGAUUCGCUAGUCGGAGAGGUAACGGCCCACCAAGGCGCUGAUCAGUAGCCGGGCUGAUAGGAUGAACGACCACAUUGGGACUGAGACACGGCCCAGACUCCUACGGGGGGCAGCCGUGGGGAAUCUUCCGCAAUGGACGAAAGUCUGACGGAGCAACGCCGCGUGAGUGAUGACGGCCUUCGGGUUGUAAAGCUCUGUUAAUCGGGACGCGGUACCGGAAUAGAAAGCCACGGCUAACUACGUGCCAGCAGCCGCGGUAAUAC